GAAAAGUAAAGACAUUGGUUCACCGAGAGGAUGUUCCGCAUGGAGACAUCAUUGGGAGUUUUUGACUUGUUUGCUCUUUUACAGGACUAGAGAUUCGGCCCUUCCUCUAUCUGUUGUAGCUGGUUUCAGAUUGAUGCUGGAAGAUAUGGAAAUGCAGCACUGAAGCAACCUACGAAAAAGUCUCAAGCCGGAGGUUGUGGCUCCGACGAGAAUCCUCCGACACUCA
rnacentral:lncRNA from 1 species